CCUACGGGCGGCAGCAGUGGGGAAUAUUGGACAAUGGGCGAAAGCCUGAUCCAGCCAUGCCGCGUGUGUGAAGAAGGCCUUCGGGUUGUAAAGCACUUUCAGUGGGGAAGAAAGCCUUGGGGCUAAUACCCUCGAGGAAGGACAUCACCCACAGAAGAAGCACCGGCUAACUCCGUGCCAGCAGCCGCGGUAAUACGGAGGGUGCGAGCGUUAAUCGAAAUUACUGGGCGUAAAGCGCGCGUAGGCGGUCUGAUAAGCCGGUUGUGAAAGCCCCGGGCUCAACCUGGGAACGGCAUCCGGAACUGUCAGGCUAGAGUGCAGGAGAGGAAGGUAGAAUUCCCGGUGUAGCGGUGAAAUGCGUAGAGAUCGGGAGGAAUACCAGUGGCGAAGGCGGUCUUCUGGACUGACACUGACGCUGAGGUGCGAAAGCGUGGGUAGCAAACAGGAUUAGAUACCCCUGUAGUC
rnacentral:rRNA from 1 species